rnacentral:rRNA from 1 species
ACGGAAGGCAGCAGUGGGGGAUAUUGCACAAUGGGGGAAACCCUGAUGCGGCGACGCCGCGUGAGUGAAGAAGUAUUUCGGUAUGUAAAGCUCUUUAAGCUGGAAAGAUAAUGACGGUACCAGCAGAAUAAGCCCCGGCUAACUACGUGCCAGCAGCCGCGGUAAUACGUAGGGGGCAAGCGUUAUCCGGAUUUACUGGGUGUAAAGGGAGCGUAGACGGUAAAGCAAGUCUGAAGUGAAAUCAUAGGGCUUAACCCUGUAAUUGCUUUGGAAACUGUUUAACUAGAGUACCGGGUGGGCAGGCGGAAUUCCUGGUGUAGCGGUGAAAUGCGUAGAUAUCAGGAAGAACACCGGUGGCGAAGGCGGCCUGCUGGACGGUAACUGACGUUGAGGCUCGAAAGCGUGGGGAGCAAACAGGAUUAGAUACCCUGGUA